AGAAGUGGACGGACUCUUCUAAACGUAUUUACAGAGGAAUAUGAAGCCGCAACGACCUCAGCUGCUUGCUACUCUGAGACUUCAUUGGAUAAAUGUGAAAUAAAGGAGGCUGCAACAAAGGAAAUACAUUGGAUCCUUGAAAGUGGGACAAAACUUUGGAGCGUCAUCACCGAUGACGUCUACCAAGACAUUGCAAUACUUCAGAAGAUGCAUGUGCUUGUAUGAGCCAGUCUGCCCCACAACAAGAGGAUAGAGAAAAAGAAGGAGCUUACGGACUACAUCGUCGGACUACAAUGGCGGGCGCAC